rnacentral:piRNA from 1 species
UGAGGUUCCCGCUUGAAUUUCCUUGU